UACGGGGGAGCAAGCGUUGUUCGGAUUUACUGGCGUAAAGGGCGCGUAGGCGGUCAGCACAAGUCAGUUGUGAAUCUCCGGGCUUAACUCGGAAAGGUCAACUGAUACUGUGCGACUAGAGUGCAGAAGGGGCAACUGGAAUUCUCGGUGUAGCGGUGAAAUGCGUAGAUAUCGAGAGGAACACCUGCGGCGAAGGCGGGUUGCUGGGCUGACACUGACGCUGAUGCGCGAAAGCCAGGGGAGCGAACGGG
rnacentral:rRNA from 1 species